CCUACGGGAGGCAGCAGUGAGGAAUAUUGGUCAAUGGACGAGAGUCUGAACCAGCCAAGUAGCGUGAAGGAUGACUGCCCUAUGGGUUGUAAACUUCUUUUAUAUGGGAAUAACAUGUUCCACGUGUGGGCUUUUGUAUGUACCCUAUGAAUAAGGAUCGGCCAACUCCGUGCCAGCAGCCGCGGUAAUACGGAGGAUCCGAGCGUUAUCCGGAUUUAUUGGGUUUAAAGGGAGCGUAGGUGGAUUGUUAAGUUAGUUGUGAAAGUUUGCGGCUCAACCGUAAAAUUGUAGUUGAAACUGGCAGUCUUGAGUACAGUAGAGGUGGGCGGAAUUCGUGGUGUAGCGGUGAAAUGCUUAGAUAUCACGAAGAACUCCGAUUGCGAAGGCAGCUCACUGGACUGCAACUGACACUGAGGCUCGAAAGUGUGGGUAUCAAACAGGAUUAGAUACCCCAGUAGUC
rnacentral:rRNA from 1 species